rnacentral:lncRNA from 1 species
UGGGAAAGUUGACUUACAGAGGGAAAAGAUGCCCAGGCUUCUGGCAGAACUGCCAUGUGGCCUCACAGGAGGACUGUUACUCCUCUCUCACACAGAAUCAUACACACAGACUGUCUGAAGUUGGAAAAGACCUCUGGUGUCACCUGGUCCAAUCCCUGCUCCGGCAGAGCCACCUACAGCAUGUAGCACAGGAUUGUGUCCAGGUGGUGAGAGCAGCCUGUGGAGGAG